AUUGAACGCUGGCGGCAUGCUUUACACAUGCAAGUUGAACGGCAGCGCGGGCUUCGGCCUGGCGGCGAGUGGCGAACGGGUGAGUAAUGCAUCGGAACGUGCCCAGUAGUGGGGGAUAGCCCGGCGAAAGCCGGAUUAAUACCGCAUACGACCUGAGGGUGAAAGCGGGGGACCGAAAGGCCUCGCGCUAUUGGAGCGGCCGAUGUCGGAUUAGCUAGUUGGUGGGGUAAAGGCUUACCAAGGCGACGAUCCGUAGCUGGUCUGAGAGGACGACCAGCCACACGGGGAUGGAGACACGGCCAGGACUCCAAGGGGGGGAAGCAGGGGGGAAUUUUGGACAAGGGGGCCACCCCGGACCCGGCCAGGCCGCGUGCGGAAGGAAGGCCUCCGGGUGGUAAACGGCUUUGGUCGGGGAGGAAUCCCUCGGGGUUAAUACCCCGGGGGAUGACGGUACCGGAAGAAUAAGCACCGGCUAACUACGU
rnacentral:rRNA from 1 species